GACGGAAGGUGCAAGCGUUGCUCGGAAUCACUGGGCGUAAAGGGUGCGUAGGCGGCUUGGUAAGUUGGGUGUGAAAGCCCCGGGCUCAGCCCGGGAAGGGCACUCGAAACUGCCGAGCUAGAGUGCCGGAGGGGAGAGUGGAAUUCCUGGUGUAGCGGUGAAAUGCGUAGAUAUCAGGAGGAAUACCGGUGGCGAAAGCGGCUCUCUGGACGGCAACUGACGCUGAGGCACGAAAGCGUGGGGAGCAAACAGG
rnacentral:rRNA from 1 species